UACCUGCAGCUCGAGUGGUAACCGUUAUUAUUGGGCCUAAAGCGUCCGUAGCCGGUUUGGUAAAUAUCUGGGUAAAUCGUGAGGCUUAACUUCACGAAUUUCGGAUAGACUGCCAGACUUGGGAUCGGGGGAGGUCAGAGGUACUCCAGGGGUAGCGGUGAAAUGUUGUAAUCCUUGGAGGACCACCGGUAGCGAAGGCGUCUGACUAGAACGAGUCCGACGGUGAGGGACGAAGCCCUGGGGCGCAAACCGGAUUAGAUGCCCGGGUAGUCCAGGGUGUAAACGAUGUGGGCUUUGUAUUGGAGGUCCCACGUGGGCGUCCAGUGCAGAAGAGAAGUUGUUAAGCCCACCGCCUGGGAAGUACGGUCGCAAGGCUGAAACUUAAGGGAAUUGGCGGGGGAGCACAGCAACGGGAGGAGCGUGCGGUUU
rnacentral:rRNA from 1 species